rnacentral:rRNA from 1 species
UACAGAGGGUGCGAGCGUUAAUCGGAAUUACUGGGCGUAAAGCGUGCGCAGGCGGUUUUGUAAGCCAGAUGUGAAAUCCCCGGGCUUAACCUGGGAAUGGCAUUUGGGACUGCAAGGCUUGAGUGCGGCAGAGGAGACUAGAAUUCCUGGUGUAGCAGUGAAAUGCGUAGAUAUCAGGAGGAAUACCGAUGGCGAAGGCAGGUCUCUGGGCUGACACUGACGCUCAUGCACGAAAGCGUGGGGAGCAAACAGG